GGGCGCACGGUGGAUGCCUUGACACUAGGAGUCGAUGAAGGACGGGACUAACGCCGAUAUGCUUCGGGGAGCUGUAAGUAAGCUUUGAUCCGAAGAUUUCCGAAUGGGGAAACCCACCAUACGUAAUGGUAUGGUAUCCUUAUCUGAAUACAUAGGGUAAGGAAGACAGACCCAGGGAACUGAAACAUCUAAGUACCUGGAGGAAGAGAAAGCAAAUGCGAUUUCCUGAGUAGCGGCGAGCGAAACGGAACAUAGCCCAAACCAAGAGGCUUGCCUCUUGGGGUUGUAGGACAUUCUAUACGGAGUUACAAAGGAACGAGGUAGACGAAGCGACCUGGAAAGGUCCGUCGUAGAGGGUAACAACCCCGUAGUCGAAACUUCGUUCUCUCUUGAAUGUAUCCUGAGUACGGCGGAACACGUGAAAUUCCGUCGGAAUCUGGGAGGACCAUCUCCCAAGGCUAAAUACUCCCUAGUGAUCGAUAGUGAACCAGUACCGUGAGGGAAAGGUGAAAAGCACCCCGGAAGGGGAGUGAAAGAGAUCCUGAAACCGUGUGCCUACAAAUAGUCAGAGCCCGUUAAUGGGUGAUGGCGUGCCUUUUGUAGAAUGAACCGGCGAGUUACGAUCCCGUGCGAGGUUAAGCUGAAGAGGCGGAGCCGCAGCGAAAGCGAGUCUGAAUAGGGCGUUUAGUACGUGGUCGUAGACCCGAAACCAGGUGAUCUACCCAUGUCCAGGGUGAAGUUCAGGUAACACUGAAUGGAGGCCCGAACCCACGCACGUUGAAAAGUGCGGGGAUGAGGUGUGGGUAGCGGAGAAAUUCCAAUCGAACCUGGAGAUAGCUGGUUCUCCCCGAAAUAGCUUUAGGGCUAGCCUUAAGUGUAAGAGUCUUGGAGGUAGAGCACUGAUUGGACUAGGGGUCCUCAUCGGAUUACCGAAUUCAGUCAAACUCCGAAUGCCAAUGACUUAUCCUUAGGAGUCAGACUGCGAGUGAUAAGAUCCGUAGUCAAAAGGGAAACAGCCCAGACCGCCAGCUAAGGUCCCAAAGUGUGUAUUAAGUGGAAAAGGAUGUGGAGUUGCUUAGACAACUAGGAUGUUGGCUUAGAAGCAGCCACCAUUUAAAGAGUGCGUAAUAGCUCACUAGUCGAGUGACUCUGCGCCGAAAAUGUACCGGGGCUAAAUACACCACCGAAGCUGCGGAUUGAUACCAAUGGUAUCAGUGGUAGGGGAGCGUUCUAAGGACAGUGAAGUCAGACCGUAAGGACUGGUGGAGUGCUUAGAAGUGAGAAUGCCGGUAUGAGUAGCGAAAGACGGGUGAGAAUCCCGUCCACCGAAUGCCUAAGGUUUCCUGAGGAAGGCUCGUCCGCUCAGGGUUAGUCAGGACCUAAGCCGAGGCCGACAGGCGUAGGCGAUGGACAACAGGUUGAUAUUCCUGUACCACCUCUUUAUCGUUUGAGCAAUGGAGGGACGCAGAAGGAUAGAAGAAGCGUGCGAUUGGUUGUGCACGUCCAAGCAGUUAGGCUGAUAAGUAGGCAAAUCCGCUUAUCGUGAAGGCUGAGCUGUGAUGGGGAAGCUCCUUAUGGAGCGAAGUCUUUGAUUCCCCGCUGCCAAGAAAAGCUUCUAGCGAGAUAAAAGGUGCCUGUACCGCAAACCGACACAGGUAGGCGAGGAGAGAAUCCUAAGGUGUGCGAGAGAACUCUGGUUAAGGAACUCGGCAAAAUGACCCCGUAACUUCGGGAGAAGGGGUGCUUUCUUAACGGAAAGCCGCAGUGAAUAGGCCCAAGCGACUGUUUAGCAAAAACACAGCUCUCUGCGAAGCCGUAAGGCGAAGUAUAGGGGGUGACACCUGCCCGGUGCUGGAAGGUUAAGGAGAGGGGUUAGCGUAAGCGAAGCUCUGAACUGAAGCCCCAGUAAACGGCGGCCGUAACUAUAACGGUCCUAAGGUAGCGAAAUUCCUUGUCGGGUAAGUUCCGACCCGCACGAAAGGUGUAACGAUUUGGGCACUGUCUCAACCAGAGACUCGGUGAAAUUAUAGUACCUGUGAAGAUGCAGGUUACCCGCGACAGGACGGAAAGACCCCGUGGAGCUUUACUGUAGCCUGAUAUUGAAUUUUGGUACAGUUUGUACAGGAUAGGCGGGAGCCAUUGAAACCGGAGCGCUAGCUUCGGUGGAGGCGCUGGUGGGAUACCGCCCUGACUGUAUUGAAAUUCUAACCUACGGGUCUUAUCGACCCGGGAGACAGUGUCAGGUGGGCAGUUUGACUGGGGCGGUCGCCUCCUAAAGUGUAACGGAGGCGCCCAAAGGUUCCCUCAGAAUGGUUGGAAAUCAUUCGUAGAGUGCAAAGGCAUAAGGGAGCUUGACUGCGAGACCUACAAGUCGAGCAGGGACGAAAGUCGGGCUUAGUGAUCCGGUGGUUCCGCAUGGAAGGGCCAUCGCUCAACGGAUAAAAGCUACCCCGGGGAUAACAGGCUUAUCUCCCCCAAGAGUCCACAUCGACGGGGAGGUUUGGCACCUCGAUGUCGGCUCAUCGCAUCCUGGGGCUGUAGUCGGUCCCAAGGGUUGGGCUGUUCGCCCAUUAAAGCGGUACGCGAGCUGGGUUCAGAACGUCGUGAGACAGUUCGGUCCCUAUCCGUCGUGGGCGUAGGAAAUUUGAGAGGAGCUGUCCUUAGUACGAGAGGACCGGGAUGGACGCACCGCUGGUGUACCAGUUGUUCUGCCAAGGGCAUAGCUGGGUAGCUAUGUGCGGAAGGGAUAAGUGCUGAAAGCAUCUAAGCAUGAAGCCCCCCUCAAGAUGAGAUUUCCCAUAGCGUAAGCUAGUAAGAUCCCUGAAAGAUGAUCAGGUUGAUAGGUUCGAGGUGGAAGCAUGGUGACAUGUGGAGCUGACGAAUACUAAUAGAUCGAGGACUUAACCAU
rnacentral:rRNA from 1 species